CUCCGCAAUACGCGCAAGCGUGACGGGGGAACCCCAAGUGCCUCAUCUUUUUGGUGAGGCUUUUUCAGAGUGUAAACAGCUCUGAGAAUAAAAGCGGGGUAAGACCGGUGCCAGCCGCCGCGGUAACACCGGCCGCUCAAGUGGUGACCGCUAUUAUUGGGCCUAAAGCGUCCGUAGCCGGUUCGGUAAGUCCCUGGGUAAAUCCUGCCGUUUAACGGUAGGAAUUCUGGGGAUACUGCCGGACUCGGGGUSGAGAGAAGUCGGAGGUACUCCGGGGGUAGCGGUGAAAUGCUGUAAUCCUCGGGGGACCACCAGUGGCGAAGGCGUCCGACUAGAGCGGGCCCGACGGUGAGGGACGAAAGCCAGGGGAGCGAACGGGAUUAGAUACCCCGGUAGUCCUGGCCGUAAACGCUGUGGGCUAGGUGUUGCAUGCUCUACGAGGGCAUGCAGUGCCGUAGAGAAGUUGAUAAGCCUWCCGCCUGGGAAGUACURCCGCAAGGUAGAAA
rnacentral:rRNA from 1 species